rnacentral:rRNA from 1 species
AUACGAAAGGUGCAAGCGUUGUUCGGAUUUACUGGGCGUAAAGAGAUCGUAGGUGGUUUGUUAAGUCGGAUGUUAAAUCCCGGGGCUCAACCCCGGAACUGCAUUCGAUACUGGCAGACUAGAGUUUGGGAGGGGUAAGCGGAAUUCCGUGUGUAGCAGUGAAAUGCGUAGAUAUACGGAGGAACACCUGAGGCGAAGGCGGCUUACUGGACCAAUACUGACACUGAGGAUCGAAAGCGUGGGUAGCAAACAGGAGUAGAAACCCUAGUAGUCC